AGUUGUGGUAGAGUCUCUUGGGUGGAUGUUUAAAUUAAGAAGUUUCCUUUAAAAAAAGUGAUUUGUGCAGUGCCCAGAACAAUGGGGUCUUUGUCCAUUCCUGGAGGGACCAAAAUCAAAAUGUUUUAAACACAAUCACCAUGGCUGCACAGAGAAUUCAAGCAGGACAACAAUACAGGACCUUUGUAUUCUGACCAUGGUGCAGAAGGGGAUGCUGAAUAUGCUGCCUCGUUACUCUGGAGUUGGCUGUGACCACUGGACUACGUCCUAUGGGCUGAGACUGAAGAAGCCAUCAGGAGUGUCAGGCUAUGCCACUGAUUUCUUAUCGACCUGCUUGAUAUGCGCUCACAUUUCCAUGCAUCUUCCCCUCCUGCACUCCAUAAAACGCAACAUGAAAUGUCUCCUCUCAAUUGAGAUGCUCUGUUUUAUUUGGGCUGAGAAAUCCACUUAAACCUUUUUAAUUUGUCUUGUUUGGA